CCUGGUGAAGCCCUCACAGAUCCUCCCCCUGGCCUGUGGCAUCUCUGCUUCUCCAUUACAACCAGUGCUUCCUGCUGGAGCUGGAUCCGUCACCCCCCGGGGAAGGGACUGGAGCGAAUCAGGUGCACAGGUCAUGAGGGAGUGCACAAUCCAACCCACUCCUCAAGAGUCCAGUCACCAUCUCCAGAUCCACAUCCAAAAAACAGUUUCUCCUACAGCUGAGCUACCUUAACAAGGAGUACACAACCAUGAUUUUUAUACAAAA
rnacentral:lncRNA from 1 species